AAAAACAUGAGUUGCAAGUACUGCAGUUGGCUGAAUUCAUGCCAGGUUGAGAGGUCAUGCCUAGUGAUGCUGACUCAUGAGUUGUUGUGAUCUUGGAGCAUGUCUCUGGUGGCAUGCCACAAGGGUCUACCCUCUGUCCUUUACUACAUUUUUAUCUGUGUUUGAUAAGUCCAUGAAACAGGAGGGAUGGCACAUACACAGUGGGCGACAAAAUCUGAAAUGACCUCAGUAUGCAGAGGAAUAAGGAUAGUUUACAUCUGUGAUCAGCUACUAUAGAGAUAAAUGUUAAGGUUCCUCAUUUAGGCUGAAAAGAAAACAAAAACUAACAUUGGUAAGUAUAAGAUAGAAAUUUGUGACUAAACCAGCAACACAUGAAAGUUUAUUUUAAAAGUCUGUAUAAAGCGCAGCUACCUAGUUCGUUCCAUGAAGCUGAUGUAGCCCUUAACACCCAACCUAGACAUACAUACACAUUAAUACACGGAAGAACUCUUAAGAAACAGACUCACAUAGAAAGAUAAAUGAAAAUUCUGAAUUCAGUCUUAGGAAAUCAUUUAAUUAUAUAUUAAAAUGACAUCUGUGACCAACUAGAGUUUAUCCCAGGAGUGCUUUAAUAUUAGGAAAUACAUUGAUAAGAUGGAUCUCGUCAUAAGGACAACUUUGUAGUCAUCUUCAUGGAUGUUGGAAAGGCCUUCAGUAAAUUAAUUGCCAUUUCUGAUAGAAACUCUUUCAAAUGUCAGGUUUCAGUUAAUGGUUUGAAGAGUUCACCACUGAAAUCAGUUUGUUCUUAGCAUUAAUAAAAUAAGCAUAGUGUCCAGGAUCCAUACCAUGCCAGUUUUGUUCCAUUUUAGGCUAUAUGACUCUCAGAGCAUUUCAGUCAGUGCUGAUCAUCAAGAAUGGUAUUAACAAAUGAGUAUGGCCAGAGCAGGGGAACGGGAAGGUGAAUAGUGGAAUCUGGAGCAAGAUGGAUGAGUGGAUCUUAAGGACUGAAGCUGUUAAACCAGGAGAAGAGAUUAUUUGAUACCCACCUUGUAGUUCUUAAAAGGGAGACAAUGACUAGCUGGAUUAAGUUUGUUCUUUAUUACCAGAUUUAGGUCCAGUGGACUAAAGAUACAUGGAUAAACUUUCUAUUGGAGCUUUCUGAAUACUAGGAAAUUUAAUCUUUUGUCCCAAAAUCAUAUUUUCUGUGUUAGAGUGGCUGCCACCUGUCACAGUGUCAUAGUGGAGGCUCAUGCUAUAGUUAUAUCAUCUCUGUGAUCCCCUCCUACUCUUAGACUUUUGUGACUUUGUUCUUGGUUGUCCUUUUCAUAUCCUUUCUUGUAGUUCAGCAUCUAGAGUUUUUAUGGUUUUCCUGUGCUGUGUAAGUUUAUCAUAGGAUUUCUUGGCCAUCAAAGAUAGUAAGCAAAUGAGAAAGAACAGAGAAUGAGAAAUCAGGAAAACUUACUCUAAUUUACAGCCCCGAAAUUAUGUGAGCAACUAUUUUUUUUUUUUUUUAAUUUUUUGAGACAGGGUCUCAGUUUGUGACCCAGGCUAGAAUGCCGUGGUGUGAUCGCGGCUCACUGCAGUCUUGACCUCCUGGGUUGAAGCGAUCCUCCUGCCUCAGCCCUCCAAGUAGCUGGAACUACCACCCCCAGCUAAUUUUUUUGUGUUUUUUUUUUUUUUGUAAACAUGGGGUUUUACCAUGUUGCACAGGCUGGUCUCGAACUCCUGAGCUCAAGCCAUCCACCUGUCUUGGCCUGCCAAAGUGCUAGGAUUACAAAAUGCAUAAGCCACCACGCCUGGCCUGUGAGCAACUAUCUUUUAAGAGGUAUUAUUAUUUUAGUAAAAAUUAUUCUUAUAAACAAUUUUACAAAGCACCAAGAAGAAAGCAAAAAAUAUCUCACCUAGAGAGAAUCAUUGCCAUUUUGAUGGCAGUCCUAUUCCCUUUCUUUGCUUACGAACCGGAGUCUUUAAAUGCAGUCUUAUAAUACCUGUCAGAAGAAACUUGUAUGUUAAUCUUAAGACAUUUAGAAAACCUCUGAUGUUUUUCCAUAUUAAAAGAUAAUUUUACAUAUUGUGCCCCUUCUGAAAAAUGAGUGGUUGCUUUGCCUUAAUAAGAAGGUAUUCUAAAGACAGGAAACAUAAUAAGGAUAAAUCUAUAUGUCUCCAGAUUGAUAAUCAUUAAGAAUUGGUAGCAAAAUUGCAUCUUUUUUAUACUUUUAUGAUCAUAAAGUGGGAGCAUACAGUGAACUUCAGGGUUAUAAAUAGAAAUGGUCAACCUAUUUUCAGACAUCCAAGUCUGAGCAAAUGUGAGUUUCAUGCAAUUCUCUGAUCCAGCAUAUAAUCCGGAAUACUAAUAUUUGCUAUAUAGCAGCAUUCUAGCAAUUCACUUUUGUGCUGUGAUAUUAUGGAUAAAGUUACAAACGUUUAAAAUAUAAAUGGUCACUUGCAUAAUGUAUACACGUAUCUGUGUGUGUUUACCAAUCCUAUGAAGAGGCAGUAACAAGUUUUAAAAGCUUUAAAUCUUUUUAUUAACAUAUAGCAUCACAUUUUUACAUCCAUCAUUUCACCAUCCAUAGCCAUUUACAUUUUUUCAUGGAAUCUGUUACUCAUAUCUAUUUUUUGCAUAGGCUUUAGAAUCAUUUUGUUUCUGAAUGUGGUCUUUGUGAAGAUUUUGAUAACAAAAGCCUGCUCCCAGUAUGUAAUUUGAUAAUCCUAACUAAUGACUACUUUAAGCCAUUCUAUGUAAAGUUGAAUUUGUAUUAAUGGUUGCAACAUUCAGGUAAUGGGAAUUAACCAACACUAAGUAGUUUAGCUUUUCAUAUGUUUGCUGAGGUUUUAGAUGUUGAUUUACUAAUUUGUACCGCCAUUGGAUUUUCACAUUUCACAUGUUUUGACAGUCAACCUUUUGGUGUUGCCUAAGUAAGGAGUAGCUAUUUACUCAUUUAAAGUUUCAUGUUACUAAGUGACAGGACACGUACAGUUAUUAGGUGUUACUGUAGUGACAGACAGGUGUGUAGGUACAUUCACUUGACUCCUUUUAUAGAUGUAAGUCAAAGGGUCAGGGAAGGAAAGGGAGCUCUGUUAUUGUUGUUACGUGUAAGUCUAUUUCAAGUUGAAAGGGCAAUCAGGAUCAAAACAAAAGAAAAUCUCCAGUGUGAAAUAGCAAAGGAAGAGAAGGGGGAGUGGGAAAAAGACAUUCAUUAGCUUUUUCUUGUACCAGAAAGUCUUUUAGUUUCUUUCAGUGGCAGAGAAAAAAAAAACACGAUAGGUUAAAUGUACUUUUUUUUGAGACGAGGUCUUGCUUUGUUGUCUAGGCUAGAGUGCAGUGGAGCAUUCAUGGCUCACUGCAGCCUCUACCUCCUGGACUCAAGCAGUCUCAGCCUCAGCCUCCCAAGUAGCUAGGACCUUAGGCAUACUUCAGCAUAUGUGGCUUUUUUUUUUUUUUUGUAGAUACAAGGUCUCCCUAUGUUCCGUAGUCUGGUCUCAAACUUCCAGCUCAAGCAAUCCUCCUGCCUUGGCCUCCCAAAGACCUGAGAUUACAGGUGUGAACCACCUUGCCUGGCUCUAAAUGUACUCUUAAGUAGAAACUUUUUAAAUUAAAUGAAACUUUAUAUAUAUAUUUGGUCUUCAAAAGCCUGCCUGUUAACAUUUUUAAAACAAUAAGAUAUUAAUACUUUGAGACAGCCAGAAUAAUCAGACCACUUCUUUAGUCCCCUCCCCAGCACUCACGUAUACCCCAGUCUCUCUCUCCUCCUUACCCACUGUGUCCUUCCUCCAGUUUCUCAUAUAAACUCUUGUGUGUGAGAGGUGGUCUCAUGUUAUUUGAAAAACUUUUGAUGAUGUCCUGUUCGUUUGAUCCCUGUGGAGGACCACUGUUUUCAAACCUCCAGAAAAGAUGAGCUUUAGAUACAAUAUAACUUAUUUUAUCUCCUCCCAACUUCUCUUUUUCCUCCAGAGUCUGCCUUUUCUAACAUUGCUCACAUACUGCUUGUGGUUUUAGGUCUUCGAGUAGCACUGGAGGCCAAGAAAUCUCCAGAUUCUAACCUACAGACAUGUGGUUGAUUUUUGGAAGAUAACUUCCUUCUGUCUUUAUCUACCUCGGGAAAAUGUAUUUUCAAAUACCAGGCUUAUGUUAUUGCCUCAAGCAUAUUAUAUGUCAUAAGCUUCCUAAAUGGAUCAGUUUUUGAUCAAAGAUUUCUGAACUCUGACCUGUGUUAUUUAUUCACUUUUCUGAGACUAACAUAGUUGCCAACUCAACAAUGUAUGUACUCUCAAGAUGACUGUUUUCCACAUUUGUAUUGAUAUCCAUAUUUAAGUGGUUUGACAUUUAAAUUGAGGUUAUGAAAUAGUUUUCCAGAGUACAAAGAAUGUCAUGCAAUUUGUCAUCAUUUCUCAUUACUGAUAUUUAAUAAUCAGCAAUAACAGGAAAGGGAAAGGAUGCCCAGAGGUUAUCCCAGUCUAGCUUUGUGACCAUGGUUCCCACCAUCAACCAUAAGACCAGUAACAGUGCUCAGUUUCCUACAUACAUUCAAGGAUGUCUUUCUUGUGAAGUUGUAGUUGUUUACCCUGGGCUAAGAGAAAAUGCAGGUUAAAUAGGAAGAAUGCAAAAAAAAUCUCUGUUUAAGCUUGAACUUUUUCAAAAGUAUGUUUAAUUAUACUGCUUCUUGAAAUUAUAAAGUAAUUCUAUAGUGUAUAUACAGUUUUAUAUAAUACCAAUUGUGAAGUAUUUAUUACAUAUGUUUAAUUUGUAUUUUUGGUAGCAUGAACAGCUAAUUUUAAAAUCAUAAACUCUCUUAGGAUUUCACCUACCUGGUAGGUGCUAUCAUGGUAGCCAGCAUUUUUAUUUCUGGAUAUUAUAUUUUAAAUCCUGAACACUCAUCCUCGUUUCUGAUUGUGGCCUAUUGCCAUCAAGUUGGUCGGCUUUAAGAUUGGGUAAUUUUGCUCAGAUGAUUCCCAGGAAAGAUUGCAAAUAAUUAAUACAAUUCGAGUUAGACUUGAAGAAAUUUGGAUUGUGCUACAGUGAGUAGCUUCACUUCUCAAGGUUCCCUGAUUUAAAUCAAACCUUAGGGAUCUUCUAUGUUAGUUUUAAAUUUCUUUAUAGAUAAAAUUACUGAUACCCAUAUACAUAUUACAUACAUAUUAAUAAAAGUGAUGUCUAUUUCUAUUUGUGGA
rnacentral:lncRNA from 10 species